GGGGGCAUGAACCAACUAAAACAGGAAUUAUUAGCAUUGAAGCAAGGAACCUAAACAAAUUUCAAAGAAAUGCGUUUGUGAAAUGCUUGUGAACAUUGGAGUUUAAGAAAAGAAACACAAUCAGAAAAUGCAUCUCCUUAAUGCUUAGGAUUGAAAUGUGUGAAAGAUAAAGCAGGUAAAAUAAAUUAAACACAAUUAAUAUGUGGACUAUAAUAACAACUAUAGGUUCAUGCAUGAAAGAAAAAACAAUACAGAACACCUCUGAAAUAAAUCCCGCAUGUGCAUCGUGCAAAUUUAAAUCCAGCCGACAAAUCCAAAUCUCCCUUUUUUUUUCUAAAUGAAAAUCCUAUCUCCUAAAAGAAGAAAAAUAAAAGAAAACCUCUGAACAUCACCGCUGCCCUUUGAAACGUGUUGCAACCUUAAGUGAAUAGGAAAUUGAUUCCAGCGUUGCACAAAAUAACAUAAACGCUAGAAUGUGCAAGCCGAGACACCCUCUACUAGGCCGUGUGGAGAUUACAGCUGGACGUGCAAAGAGUGGAGUGAAGUCUGUUGGAUGUACCUCCUCGAGUUGCAGCUUAAUGAAGAAUUUGUUGGGCCGUGUGCGCGAAUUUUGCUGUCACCGUUUUCAUGCAGGCCGCGAAGAUUGGAUGCAAUAGCUUGUGUGAUGGCCUGGACGUGAUAUGUUAUACACUGCAAUGCUGGUGGACCGUGAUGUGUGAGAGUGUUGGAUGUUGUUGGAUGAAUCAAGCAUUUUGGAUGCAGCCCGUGAUGUGCUGGAAGCUCCCUGCAGAAUAAAUUUUCCAUGGGCCCUGCUGCACAAUUUAUCUCCAAGCACAAAAAUGAAAUGUUGAUUCCUAAAGAAAAACCCAUC
rnacentral:lncRNA from 1 species